UAACUGCACUCUGGGCAUUAAGGAUGAGCAACAAAUUCUAAUCUUUCUAGCAACGCCCACAUCCCGUGAACAAUUUUAUUUAAAGGCUUUCCUUUUUUGUAGAAAGAAAGUCUUGUUGAUGGUCUAAAUUUCAUUAAUUGCUGGUGUUCAAUACAACAUCAAAAUCAGUUGAUCAUUAGAUUAGCACAAGAUCAGCACUUUUUAUAUCUUUAGAAGUAAAUUUUUUUUGACUAACCUCUGUAAUAUGAUUUGUGGCACUUGCUCCUAAUGCUUUGCUGUAUAUAUUUCAUGUAUAUGCACACACGUAUAUAUCUUUUAUCUGACAUCAGCUCUACAUCAGCCAUUUGUUUGUACGUAUCAUACUACAUGCUUUAAAAAUAUAUCAAUGACUCUUCAUCAUUUACAUCCAGUUUCCACAUCACCACCCAUAAUGACUACAGUAAGAUAUUUAGUUGAUUUAUUCAGUUGAAUUAACUGGUGUGAAUUGUGAAAGCAAAGCAAUCUAAGAAAGAGCUACAGAUAUCUCAACAGCUUUUACAAAAUGAAAGAUGUAAACAUCUCUAAGUAGAUCUAAUCAGUGCCAGAAACAAAAAAAAAUUGAGACAAUUGAUUUUCAAGCCUUAGUGCCCUUCAAAGCUCCAGCUACGUUAUUAUCCAGUGGCAUUUGCCUGUAUUCAGUCAUUAUUAAGAUAAUCAGUUUCAAAUGCAUAAUGUAAUUAUUUAAGCAACAGAAACAUCUUAAAGUGCUGGGACAAUCGGUUCAUUGAUCCAGUAAGGGACAGUGGAACUGCAUUUGUGGCUUUGCAUUUUUACAACAUAAAAUGUCACCUCCCAGUGAAUCAUUUGAGUUCAUUUAUUUUUCUUUUACAGGGAAGGUUGUAGAUAUUUAUUCCAAAUUUGAUGUUAUAAAUCUUGCUGCUGAGAAGACAUACAAUAAUCUGGAUAUCACUGUAACCCAGGCACUGCAACACCGCUCACAGUAUUUUGAAGGGGUUGUGAAGUGUCACAGGCUGGAAGCACUGGAGACAACAGUGGACAGAAUAGUCAAAGCUGAGGUUCAUCGGCUUGUAGUAGUUGAUGAAAAAGAAAGUAUUGUGGGAAUCGUCUCAUUGUCCGACAUUCUGCAGGCUCUUGUUCUCACCCCAGCAGGUAUAGAUGCACAAUAUUCCUAAUCUCCUGGAGUCUGACCUCUGACCCCUUCCUCUCGGCACUCAGGUUCUAUAAGAAAAGAAAGCAUUGCAGAAUGACUGAUUACAAUGGGCAUAGAACGUGCUUGACAAGAACUCUUUGAAGCUUCUUAUUCUGUUCAGGACCAGAUUGAAUGCUGGCUACUACAGAGAAGAGAAGGCACAUGACUGCGAAAUCAGGAAACUGAAACAGUUUGAUCAAACACUGUAGUUGCAUCUGAUAAGUACUAGUGACAAUAUCUGACCCAAAUUGAUGAUCUUGCUCACUGAGUAGCUAUGCAGAUACAGCUGUAAUGUUGCAAUUAAGAUUUUGACAGAAUUUAUUUUGCAAAAAUAUUAGCAACUGUACCUAAAAGAUAUUUUUAAACUAUGCGUUAAAGCCAGAGUGAUUCAAAUGGCUAUUUAUUUCAAGUAGUUUGCUGGUGACCUUUUCAAGACUUGGAUUGGCAACCAGCAAACAUUACUGUGUUUAAUUGUCAUAAACAUUUCUAAACUUCAAAAUCAGUUUGGACCUGCUACAGCAGUUACCUGCUGACACACACAUCUUAAUUCUCCAAUUCAACACAGUAAGAAAACUGCUAACUGUACUGUAUUGUAAAUAGGAAGUUAUUGAGGGAAAACGUGCCAGAGAAAGGUAUAUUUUUCGGUGUAUGCAAAUGUAAAAUUAUGUUUGUACGAUUGCACAUUUAAUUUUUUUGUAAAUUAUAUUGUUUUCAUAUGGCUGCAAGGAUGGGGGAUUGUUUUUGUCCUUGUAAAUGCACAAAGGCAUGAAACUGACACUAUAUAUUGUAGAUUUUUUUUGUUUGAAAGGCGGGGAAAGGAAAGGGAAUGAUACUUGGCUGUUCUGGAGAUUUGUUGGGGCAUGAGAAGAAACACUUGGUUUUGUGGCAAAACCUCAUUAAAGUAAUAAUGCACUUUAAAAAUGGACAUUCAUUAAUUGUGUAGUGAAUUCACACAAACGUGAUGCAAGUUGAUAUUUGCAUUGGGCUCAGCCCAGCCCUGUAGUUUUGAAGUAUCUCCUGUAGGGGGUAAAACUGACACACAACUUCAAAUUGCUGUGUGGGUCGUUACCUCACAAUAACUGUCUUUCCAGUGGAAGGUGUCUUCUGCAAAUCUGAUCUUGAUGAGGGAGGCGAGGCUUUAGAUGAGGCUACUGAAUUUAGUCGGCUUUGAAACUUACACUGUCUUUCCUCUGUGUCUGACACCAAGGAGGGGAAGAUCAAAAAAAAAAUUAAUCAUUGGUGGUGAUUCAGUAAUGUCAGUGAAUUCUGUACUUCCACUCUGUAAGGAUUGCGUAAUUAAAAGUGAACAGUGUAUUUAUGACAGGAGUGUGCAGUAUCUCUGGUACUUCACCAAAACUUGAAAAGCAUGAUGAUGUCCUCCUCAAGCAACUUUCAUCUACAAAUACUUGAGCAGAGGACCUUUAGAAGUUUGCUCAUGCCAGUCCUAGUUUAUGUUCCCAGCCUUUUUAUCUGGGUUGAUGAAGUUUACAUCACAAUGUUGGAUUUUAAGUGCCAUUAAAAUUAUUCGAUCUAAAAUUGGUGUGAACUGAGUCUAAAUGUAGCGUAUUAAAACAUCUUGUAUCAUACUUUGAAUGCUGUCCUGCAUUUCUUCAGUGCAUUAUCAUAUGUAUACAAUAUUGUACAUCUUUAAUGUUGAAUAAACGAGAUUAUUGCCAGGUGCAA